AUUGAACGCUGGCGGCAGGCCUAACACAUGCAAGUCGAACGGUAACAGGAAACAGCUUGCUGUUUCGCUGACGAGUGGCGGACGGGUGAGUAACGUCUGGGAAACUGCCUGAUGGAGGGGGAUAACUGCUGGAAACGGUAGCUAAUACCGCAUAACGUCGCAAGACCAAAGAGGGGGACCUUCGGGCCUCGUGCCAUCGGAUGUGCCCAGAUGGGAUUAGCUAGUAGGUGGGGUAACGGCUCACCUAGGCGACGAUCCCUAGCUGGUCUGAGAGGGUGACCAGCCACACGGGAACCGGCGCCCGGUCCAGACGCCUACGGGAGGCAGCAGUGGGGAAUCUUGCACGGUGGGGGCGAGCCUCGUGCAGCCAUGCCGCGUGUCUGAAGACGGCCUUCGGGUUGUAAAGUACUUUCAGCGGGGAGGGAGGGAGUAAAGUUCAUACCUUUGCUCAUUGACGUUACCCGCAGAAGAAGCACCGGCCAACUCCGUGCCCGCCGCCGCCGUAA
rnacentral:rRNA from 1 species